rnacentral:rRNA from 1 species
GAUGAACGCUGGCGGCGUGCCUAAUACAUGCAAGUCGAGCGAACGGACGAGAAGCUUGCUUCUCUGAUGUUAGCGGCGGACGGGUGAGUAACACGUGGAUAACCUACCUAUAAGACUGGGAUAACUUCGGGAAACCGGAGCUAAUACCGGAUGAUAUUUUGAACCGCAUGGUUCAAAAGUGAAAGACGGUCUUGCUGUCACUUAUAGAUGGAUCCGCGCUGCAUUAGCUAGUUGGUAAGGUAACGGCUUACCAAGGCAACGAUGCAUAGCCGACCUGAGAGGGUGAUCGGCCACCCUGGAACUGAGACACGGUCCAGACUCCUACGGGAGGCAGCAGUAGGGAAUCUUCCGCAAAGGGCGAAAGCCUGACGGAGCAACGCCGCGUGAGUGAUGAAGGUCUUCGGAUCGUAAAACUCUGUUAUUAGGGAAGAACAUAUGUGUAAGUAACUGUGCACAUCUUGACGGUACCUAAUCAGAAAGCCACGGCUAACUACGUG